GACGAACGCUGGCGGCGUGCUUAACACAUGCAAGUCGAGGGUAACAAUACACUGGCGCAAGGGUGCGUAACGCGUGGAUUAUCUGCCCCAUACACUAACAUAACGCUUGGAAACGGGUAGCUAAUAUUAGAUGAGGUGCUUCGGCAUCAAAGUUUACGACGGUAUGGGAUGAGUCUGCGUCUGAUUAGCUAGUUGGUAGUGUAAUGGACUACCAAGGCGACGAUCAGUAGCUGGUCUGAGAGGAUGAUCAGCCACACUGGGACUGAGACACGGCCCAGACUCCUACGGGAGGCAGCAGUGGGGGAAUAUUGGACAAUGGGCGAAAGCCUGAUCCAGCAAUGCCGCGUGAGUGAUGAAGGCCUUAGGGUUGUAAAG
rnacentral:rRNA from 1 species